UACGAAGGGGGCUAGCGUUGCUCGGAAUUACUGGGCGUAAAGCGCACGUAGGCGGCUUUCUAAGUCGGGGGUGAAAUCCUGGAGCUCAACUCCAGAACUGCCUUCGAUACUGGAGAGCUCGAGUCCGGGAGAGGUGAGUGGAACUGCGAGUGUAGAGGUGAAAUUCGUAGAUUAUUCGCAAGAACACCAGUGGCGAAGGCGGCUCACUGGCCCGGUACUGACGCUGAGGUGCGAAAGCGUGGGGAGCAAACAGG
rnacentral:rRNA from 1 species